rnacentral:rRNA from 1 species
UACAGAGGGGGCAAGCGUUGUUCGGAAUUACUGGGCGUAAAGGGCGCGUAGGCGGCCCGCUAAGUCGAACGUGAAAUCCCCGAGCUCAACUCGGGAACUGCGUCCGAUACUGGCGGGCUUGAAUCCGGGAGAGGGAUGCGGAAUUCCAGGUGUAGCGGUGAAAUGCGUAGAUAUCGGAAGGAACAUCAGUGGCGAAAGCGACUUCCUGGACCAGUACCGACGUUCAGGCACGAAAGCGUGGGGAGCAAACAGG